UGGGAGGUCGUUCAAUGGUAGGACAUGCGGCUCUGACCCGCAGAAUCGGGGUUCGAAUCCCUGCCUCCCAGCCA
rnacentral:tRNA from 1 species